rnacentral:rRNA from 1 species
UACGGAAGGGGCGAGCGUUGUUCGGAAUCAUUGGGCGUAAAGGGCGCGUAGGUGGUUCUGUAUGUCUGCCGUGAAAGGGUACAGCUUAACUGUAGCUUGUCGGUAGAAACUGCAGGACUUGAGGCUGGGAGGGGCUGGUGGAAUUCCCUGUGUAGCGGUGAAAUGCGUAGAGAUGGGGGAGAACACUCGUGGCGGAGGCGGCCAGCUAGACCAGUUCUGACACUGAGGCGCGACAGCGUGGGGAGCAAACGGG